UGACAGGUGCCCUUUAACCCCUUAAGGACACAUGACAUGUGUGACAUGUCAUGAUUCCCUUUUUAUUCCAGAAGUUUGGUCCUUAAGGGGGUAAAGGGAUCCUAUAGUGCCAGGAAAAGUUGUUUUCAUGGCACUAUAGGCUUAAUAAGUCUCCCCCUCCCACGGGGCUGAAGGGGUUAAAACCCCUUUCAGCCACUUCCAUGAAUCCAUCGCUGAUGUCCCUCUGCGCUGGGUCAGGCUCCACCCAUGCUGCUUGUGAGGCAAUGCACUUGUGAGGCAAUGGCUGCACGCAAUAUAUACCUCACCAUAGGAAAGCAUUAUUCAAUGCUUUCCUAUGGGGAAAACCUGACACUGGAGGUCAGUGAGGACGUCCAGCGUCCGAUAACAGACCAAAAGUGCUUUUGGAUUUUGG